CCUACGGGUGGCAGCAGUGAGGAAUAUUGCUCAAUGGACGAGAGUCUGAACCAGCAAAGUAGCGUGAAGGAUGACUGCCCUAUGGGUUGUAAACUUCUUUUAUAUGGGAAUAAAAUAUUCCACGUGUGGAAUUUUGUAUGUACCAUAUGAAUAAGGAUCGGCUAACUCCGUGCCAGCUGCCGCGGUAAUACGGAGGCUCCGAGCGUUAUACGGAUUUAGUGGGUUUAAAGGGAGCGUAGGCGGAUUUGUAAGUCAGUUGUGAAAGUUUGCGGCUCAACCGUAAAAUUGCAGUUGAAACUGGUAGUCUUGAGUAUAGUAGAGGUGGGCGGAAUUCGUGGUGUAGCGGUGAAAUGCUUAGAUAUCACGAAGAAUUCCGAUUGCGAAGGCAGCUCACUGGACUGCAACUGACACUGAGGCUCGAAAGUGUGGGUAUCAAACAGGAUUAGAUACCCCUGUAGUC
rnacentral:rRNA from 1 species